AAUACCUCCACCUUGAGAUCAUUAUAAAAGACGGCAAAAUUUCUCUAAGAUCAUCACACAUCCUCAACUCUCUCAACAUGAAGCUGUUCUUACUCGCCGCUGUUGUAGCCUCAGCCCUUGUGGCGGUGUGCGAUGCUGGUGGAAAAGGUUUCCGUGGUGGAUUCGGUGGCGGUUUCGGAAUAAAUGAUAACUUCAAAAGAAUAUUCGAACCCGAAGUGUAAACUGUUCAUGACGGGACAUAAAUAAAAUAAUUUAUUCAUUA